UACAGUCUCAGACGACGUGGCAGAAUUUAUUGCUCAAGUGAUGACUGAUAUCCUCAAUGCGUCUCACGUGGAGGUAUUAGUGGGCUCAGAAGCUGACAAUGGACCCGUGAUAGUCACCCAGAGACUGCACCUUGCUUCUAAAAGCGUCGUCACAACUAGAAUUCGGUCAAACGCUUCUGCUUCAGCUUUUCUAGAGCAUGUGUUCGCCAAAUUCUCUACAAGCACCAAGGUCUACGUGAUUUGUCUCCUUCCGCAAAAGUAUUACCUCAAGCACAUCUUCCCCCUGAUGGAGUCUGUGUGGACUCACUUGGUUUACUCGUACUGGAUUGUGUUGGGCCGCGGAAAAAUGUUCGCCAGACUCAUACUGCAGCAAAGCCCCUGUACGUUUUACUUUCUGAC